GGCCUAUUGAAUAUAAUUUUAGGUCGAUCUGCCCAAUGAUUUUGAAUUUAAUGGCUGCGGUAUUUUGACUGUACAAAGGUAGCAUAAUCAAUUGUUUUUUAAUUGGAAACUGGAAUGAAAGAAUUAAUGAGAUAUAUACUGUCUCAUAUAUAAUAAAUGAAUUUAAAUUUUUAGUUAAAAUGCUUAAAUUAUUUUAUGGGACGAUAAGACCCUAUAGAAUUUUAUAUUAAUAUAAAUAGUUAUGUUUAUAAAAUUUUUAUAUUAAUAUUUAAUUGGGAGGAUUAGUAAAUUUAAAGAACUUUAUUUUAAAUUUAAACUUUGAUUUAAGAAUUUUUUUUGAUCUUGUAUUAUAAAAAUAAGAAUAAAUUACCUUAGGGAUAACAGCGUAAUAUCUUUUUAAAGGUCAUAUUGAUAAAGAUGAUUGCGACCUCGAUGUUGAAUUAAGAUAAAUUUUAGAUGGAGAAGUUUAAAAAUUAAGUCUGUUCGACUUUUAAAAUCUUACAUGAUUUGAGUUCAA
rnacentral:rRNA from 1 species